rnacentral:tRNA from 1 species
GCCUUGUAGUGAAGUUCAUGGUGGGUUGCAAGCUCAUCGAUGUGCAUUAACCUGCGCCGAGGUCUG